rnacentral:lncRNA from 1 species
AUUUAUCUCUAAAUGGAUUGAGACCUGUAUCAGAUAUGUUUUGGUUCACAACUUGAAGGAGAUAGAUGAUGCAGUGACUGAUGUGUUUGCCUAUGGUGAUAAACAAGCAACUCCGCAGGACUCAAAUACAUUCCUGGGUUACCAACAAAGACAUCACAACCACCCUGACUACAUCUUUGGCAGCAGGUUAAACCACUGAAUUUCGGGGAGCUGUUGAGGAGAAGCUGAGUGCCUUGUGGAAGAACACACCGUGAGGAGGAGCCUGAGAGAGCUGGUCACUGAGAAAAUCAUCAUCCGAGAAGAAGUGGUGACAUUGUGUGCUUAGAGGAGUGUGAUUCCUCCCUUUUCUCUACCUGCCUUAUGAAACACUCAGUAAAUUCUACUUUUCCCACUACCUCUUUUGGUGUGAGCAGUUUAUUUUAGAGCCCUCCAAAGAGGUACUGUGGUCCUUCACAAGGUUGGCAGGGUGGAAGAAGGUGGAGGAAGACCAGUUAGGGAUUAACCAGACACCUGAAAAGACUUUCUAUCUUUUCUUUACCUAUUCAUUUAUUAUCCUCCUGUCAUCUCUUUCCCCUUGAGCCUAUUCAAGGAUCUCCCCUCUCUCACGUUUCCAUCUCUGGCUCCCUCAUGGGCUCCUCUUCCUCCGAGGUCAACAGGUCUUUGCUCGUCCCCACUGUCGAGUUUCCUAGAGUCAGCCGUCACGACUGGGGUCAAUAGAGAGAACUAUAAGCUGCCUCUCACAAAAUAGCCAAUAAUGGUACUACAACUUACUGAGUUUUUAUAUAUAUUGAUUGUGGUGCUAGGUACCUCACAUAUAUAAUUUCAGUUAGUCUUUUUAACUACUCUGUAUAGCAAAUAUUAUUAUUGCUUUGUCACAGAAAGCAAACUGAGAGUCACUGGCUUGAUGUUCCAUGGGCUUGAACUAUUUUUACUUCCAAACAGGCUGCUAGUUAAAGUCAGGACAGUCGAUAGGCAGGAGGAUGAUAAGAGCACAGCGGCUGAGGCCAGGCAUGGUGGCUCAUGCCUAUAAUCCCAGCACUUUGGGAGACCAAG